AUGACCGACAUUUUCGUAAUCCUCGUGAAAUUUGGGGUCGAAUCCAUGUGUCAGUAGAAAAUACCCGAAAAUCGUCAAAAAGACCCAGACCCCGGACCUUUUGGUCAAAUUGGACUUUUCGCCAAAAACGGUUCAAAAUAGAUCAGACACACCUAAAAUUUCAUGGGGAUCAUGAAAAUCGUAUUCGUUUUGUUGUGGGCUCAGUAUUUCUGGAGAUAUAGGCUACUUCCGGUCAUUUCCGAUAAUUUUUUUUUUCAAUUUCGCCAAAACUAAACAAUGAACAUUAAUAUUCCAAACAUUUUAAGCAUGUUAAUCAUAAGUGUAAUGGUGUGCCGGCUUUUUUCGUGUUUAUUUUGCUAUUUUACUACUGGCUGAUCGUGCAAGUUGCUUGUCUACGAUAUGUUAAGCGCUGUGUCCUGCAACGAUAUAGGCUACUUCCGGUAAAUUUUUGUUUCAACUUCGCAAAAAGUAAAAAAGAAUGAACAUUAAUAUUCCAACGAUUUUAAGAAUACCGAAAAGACAGGAAAGAGGAGCGAAUAAGGCGAUUGAUUCCGGAAAGAAAAACUAGAUGACGCAAUGGCGAAUUGCUAUUGUUGUGUGAUUACGAGUAAUGAGUGAAAAACUGUGUUUGAAAUAUUCGUUAAGUUUUGUUGUACCUAAAGGAAAAUUCAGCUGAAACCUAUCGGUAAUUCCUUGUUAUCGGCUCCCGAUCAAGCUGGUGAAAUUAAAAAGAAAUAUCUUUGCAACCCUUGUCAGUUGCUUACCAGUAUACAUACUCUAGUAUGUGACUUAUUGAUUGUUCAUAAACUGUAACCGGAAAGGAAUUGAAACUGGGGCAAUGUCAAUGUGAGGAAUUCAGUGGAAUAUCACCACCUCAUUCUAAAUCCCUUUGCCCAUUUCAACUCCUGACAGUUCCAAACUGAAAAGUGUAGCACAUUACUCUAUGUUGUGGUGCCAACGAUUAAACACCACAAUUCAGUAGCCUUCAUGUCAUUUCUACUUAAUCAGCCAACACAAAAAGACGUGGGCCACAGCAUCAUCACUUCUUGGACUGUCUGAUCUGUUCUUCUACCAGAAAAUUGCCUGGCCUACAAUUUUCUAUGUCUUGAAAUAACUGAUAACUAUUGUAUUCUCCUGUUCAGUUCCAUGGAAAAUUGAUCAUCAAGAUUCUAAGAGAUCUCUUCAAGAUCUUUUGCUCCAUCUUCGCCGGCCGCCCAGUCUUCGCCUCGCCCGUCGCCUCGUCUUCACUUUGCCCGUCGCCCCGUCUUCGCCUCGUCCGUCGCCUCGUCUUCAUUUUGCCUGUCGCCCCGUCUUCGCCUCGCCCGUCGCCCCGUCUUCGCUUUGCCCGUCGCCUCGUGGUUGCCGUGUCAUCAAGUCGCCGUCGUGGUAUCGUUGUAUUUUGUUUUGCUUUUUUGUGUGUCGUGUAAUUAACCCGUUGGCUGCCACGCCUCUUUGCUCCCCUUUUUUUUUUAGCUUGAUAGGGACGGGCCGCGCUGCUCUACUCCACGGUCUAUGUGCCGUGGGGUGGAGCAGUCGCCACUGCCCAAGAUUCGCCGUAAGGCGCACAGGCAAUGCACCACAGGGCCUCCCUUUGCAGAUACGAUGCUUGGUUGCCAGGGUGUGCAUUCCCGUACUGGUUUCCAACAUCGUGUCACCCCGGACCAUUGUGUCCCCUUUGGUCGCGAUCCCUCUGAUCGCGAUGUAGUAACCGUAGAUUUUGAGGCGUGGCAGCCAACGCGUUAGUUAAGUGUAUUUGUUGUAUAUGUAUUGUACUUUAUUGUGAAAUGUAAAAUGUA